AGCGAACGCGGGCGGCGUGCUUAACACAUGCAAGUCGAACGCGCAGCAAUCUGUAGCAAUACAGGUUGUGGGCGCGUGGCGAACGGGUGCGUAACACGUGGAUAACCUUCCUUCAGGUGGGGAAUAACCCAGUGAAAAUUGGGCUAAUACCGCAUAACAAGACGAUGGCACAUGCUGUGUCUUCAAAGGCGCAAGUCGCCAGAAGAGGGAUCCGCGGCCGAUUAGCUUGUUGGCGAGGUAAUGGCUCACCAAGGCAUUGAUCGGUAGCCGGACUGAGAGGUUGGCCGGCCACACUGGAACUGAGACACGGUCCAGACUCCUACGGGAGGCAGCAGUGGGGAAUCUUGCACAAUGGACGAAAGUCUGAUGCAGCAACGCCGCGUGGGGGAUGAAGCUUCUCGGAGUGUAAACCCCUUUCGACCUGGAAGAAUGCCCGCAAGGGUUUGACGGUACAGGUAUAAGAAGCCCCGGCUAACUACGUGCCAGCAGCCGCGGUAAUACGUAGGGGGCCAGCGUUGCUCGGAAUUACUGGGCGUAAAGGGUCCGUAGGCGGUGUGGUAAGUCGGGAGUGAAAUCUUUGGGCUUAACCCAGAGGCUGCUUCCGAAACUGCCG
rnacentral:rRNA from 1 species